rnacentral:rRNA from 1 species
UACGUAGGGUGCGAGCGUUAAUCGGAAUUACUGGGCGUAAAGCGUGCGCAGGCGGUUCGUUAUGUCCGAUGUGAAAGCCCCGAGCUCAACUUGGGAAUGGCAUUGGAAACUGGCGGGCUGGAGUGUGGCAGAGGGGGGGUGGAAUUCCACGUGUAGCAGUGAAGUGCGUAGAGAUGUGGAGGAACACCGAUGGCGAAGGCAGCCCCCUGGGCCAACACUGACGCUCAGGCACGAAAGCGUGGGGAGCAAACAGG